rnacentral:rRNA from 1 species
AGUGAACGCUGGCGGUAGGCCUAACACAUGCGAGUCGAACGGCAGCACAGUAAGAGCUUGCUCUUACGGGUGGCGAGUGGCGGACGGGUGAGGAAUACAUCGGAAUCUACUUUUUCGUGGGUGAUAACGUAGGGAAACUUACGCUAGUACCGCAUACGACCUACGGGUGAAAGCAGGGGAUCUUCGGACCUGUCGCGAUUGAAUGAGCCGAUGUCGGAUUAGCUAGUUGGCGGGGUAAAGGCCCACCAAGGCGACGAUCCGUAGCUGGUCUGAGAGGAUGAUCAGCCAGACUGGAACUGAGACACGGUCCAGACUCCUACGGGAGGCAGCAGUGGGGAAUAUUGGACGAUGGGGGCAAGCCUGAUCCAGCCAUACCGCGUGGGUGAAGAAGGCCUUCGGGUUGUAAAGCCCUUUUGUUGGGAAAGAAAAGCAGCAGGUUAAUCCCCCGCUGUUCUGACGGUACCCAAAGAAUAAGCACCGGCUAACUUCGUG